rnacentral:rRNA from 1 species
CGUGAGAUGUUGGGUUAAGUCCCGCAACGAGCGCAACCCUUUUCCUUACUUGCCAGCAUUUCGGAUGGGAACUUUAAGGAUACUGCCAGUGACAAACUGGAGGAAGGCGGGGACGACGUCAAGUCAUCAUGGCCCUUACGGCCAGGGCUACACACGUGCUACAAUGGUCGGUACAAAGGGUUGCUACACAGCGAUGUGAUGCUAAUCUCAAAAAGCCGAUCGUAGUCCGGAUUGGAGUCUGCAACUCGACUCCAUGAAGUCGGAAUCGCUAGUAAUCGCGGAUCAGAAUGCCGCGGUGAAUACGUUCCCGGGCCUUGUACACACCGCCCGUCACACCAUGGGAGUUUGUUGCACCAGAAGUAGCUAGCCUAACUGCAAAGAGGGCGGUUACCACGGUGUGGCCGAUGACUGGGGUGAAGUCGUAACAAGGUAGCCGUAGGGGAACCUGCGGCUGGAUCACCUCCUUAACGAA